UACGUAGGGACCGAGCGUUGUCCGGAUUCAUUGGGCGUAAAGAGCUCGUAGGCGGCUGUUCAAGUCGAACGUGAAAACUCGGAGCUCAACUCCGAGCCUGCGUUCGAUACUGGACGGCUAGAGUCUGGUAGGGGGAUCUGGAAUUCCUGGUGUAGCGGUGAAAUGCGCAGAUAUCGGGAAGAACACCCGUGGCGAAGGCGGUUCUCUGGGACGGUACUGACGCUGAGACGCGAAAGCGUGGGGAGCAAACAGG
rnacentral:rRNA from 1 species